CAGCAGUCGCCACGGUAAAACGUAGGGUGCAAGCGUUAAUCGGAAUUACUGGGCGUAAAGCGUGCGCAGGCGGUUAUAUAAGACAGAUGUGAAAUCCCCGGGCUCAACCUGGGAACUGCAUUUGUGACUGUAUAGCUAGAGUACGGCAGAGGGGGAUGGAAUUCCGCGUGUAGCAGUGAAAUGCGUAGAUAUGCGGAGGAACACCGAUGGCGAAGGCAAUCCCCUGGGCCUGUACUGACGCUCAUGCACGAAAGCGUGGGGAGCAAACAGGAUUAGAUACCCCCGUAGUCCCUGUCUCUUAUAC
rnacentral:rRNA from 1 species